rnacentral:rRNA from 1 species
AUUGAACGCUGGCGGCAGGCCUAACACAUGCAAGUCUAACGAGUGGCGGACGGGUGAGUAAUGUCUGGGAAACUGCCUGAUGGAGGGGGAUAACUCCUGGAAAUGGUAGCUAAUACAGCAUACCAUCAGAUGUGCGCAGAUGGGAUUAGCUAGUUGGGGGGGUAACGGUUCACCGAGGCGACGAUCCCUAGCUGGUCUGAGAGGAUGACCAGCCACACUGGAACUGAGACACGGUCCAGAGUCCUACGGGAGGCAGCAGGUGGGAAUAUUGCACAAUGGGCGCAAGCCUGAUGCAGCCAUGCCGCGUGUAUGAAGAAGGCCUUCGGGUUGUAAAGUACGUUCAGCGGGGAGGCGUUACCCGCAGAAGAAGCACCGGCUAACUCCGUGCCAGCAGCCGCGGUAAUAC